rnacentral:snoRNA from 1 species
UGCAAAUGAUGCUAACUUUUUGCUGUCUAAAUAUACUUGAUGACAACCACCAAGAUCGCUGAUGCA